AUAGACAGCUGGCGGCAGGGCUAACACAUGCAAGUCGGGCGGAGCGGCGGACGGGUGAGGAAUGCCUAGGAAUCAGCCUGGAAGAGGGGGAUAACGUCCGGAAACGGGCGCUAAUACCGCAUAAUAUCAGAUCAGACUAGGUCGGAAUAGCUAGUUGGGGGGGUAAAGGCCUACAAAGGGGACGAUCCGAAACUGGUCUGAGAGGAGGAUCAGUCACACUGGAACUGAGACACGGUCCAGACUCCUACGGGAGGCAGCAGUGGGGAAUAUUUCACAAUGGGCGCAAGCCUGAUGCAGCCAUGCCGCGUGUAUGAAGAAGGCCUUCGGGUUGUAAAGUACUUUCAGUCGGGAGGCGUUACCGACAGAAGAAGCACCGGCUAACUCCGUGCCAGCAGCCGCGGUAAUUC
rnacentral:rRNA from 1 species